UGGACGAAGUCUGACGGAGCAACUGCCGCGUGAGUGAAGAAGGUUCUUCGGAUCUGUAAAACUCUGUUGUUAGGGAAGAACAAGUGCCGUUCGAAUAGGGCGGCACCUUGACGGUACCUAACCAGAAAGCCACGGCUAACUACGUGCCAGCAGCCGCGGUAAUACGUAGGUGGCAAGCGUUGUCCGGAAUUAUUGGGCGUAAAGCGCGCGCAGGUGGUUUCUUAAGUCUGAUGUGAAAGCCCACGGCUCAACCGUGGAGGGUCAUUGGAAACUGGGGAACUUGAGUGCAGAAAAGGAAAGUGGAAUUCCAAGUGUAGCGGUGAAAUGCGUAAAUAUUUGGAGGAACACCAGUGGCGAAGGCGACUUUCUGGUCUGUAACUGACACUGAGGCGCGAAAGCGUGGGGAGCAAACAGGAUUAAAUACCCUGGUAGUCCACGCCGUAAACGAUGAGUGCUAAGUGUUAGAGGGUUUCCGCCCUUUAGUGCUGCAGCUAACGCAUUAAGCACUCCGCCUGGGGAGUACGGUCGCAAGACUGAAACUCAAAGGAAUUGACGGGGGCCCGCACAAGCGGUGGAGCAUGUGGUUUAAUUCGAAGCAACGCGAAGAACCUUACCAGGUCUUGACAUCCUCUGACAACCCUAGAGAUAGGGCUUUCCCCUUCGGGGGACAGAGUGACAGGUGGUGCAUGGUUGUCGUCAGCUCGUGUCGUGAGAUGUUGGGUUAAGUCCCGCAACGAGCGCCACCCUUGAUCUUAGUUGCCAGCAUUCAGUUGGGCACUCUAAGAUGACUGCCGGUGACAAACCGGAGGAAGGUGGGGAUGACGUCAAA
rnacentral:rRNA from 1 species